ACAAACUUGGUCAUUUAGAGGAAGUAAAAGUCGUAACAAGGUUUCCGUAGGUGAACCUGCGGAAGGAUCAUUACACUCAGUAGUUUACUACUGUAAAGGAGGCUGUUAGUCUGUAUAGCGCAAGCUGAUGAGCAGCUGGCCUCUUUUAUCACCCUUGUCUUUUGCGUACCCACGUUUCCUCGGUAGGCUUGCCUGCCGAUUGGACAAAUCUAUAACCUUUUUAAUUUUCAAUCAGCGUCUGAAAAACUUAAUAAUUACAACUUUCAACAACGGAUCUCUUGGUUCUGGCAUCGAUGAAGAACGCAGC
rnacentral:misc_RNA from 1 species